ensembl:lncRNA
CCUGCUUUCUGGCCUAUUGGAGACCUGUCACUGUAGAACCAGGACCAGAGGAGUCUCCUCCUGGUGGACGUUAGAGAGAAUGCAGCUUUAACGCAUGAAGCUCUGGCUAAUCCUGGAGGUCCUCCUGGCGCCCCUCACCCGUGUGCAGCUGACCCCCGUGGCGUCCGGGUACAGGAUGAGGCUGUAGGCCUCCCGCUGCUCCGGCCUGAAGCUGCACUCAGACGGCCUCCCGCUGAAGACGGUGUUUGUUGUUGUCGUGGUUACCUGGAGGCGAGGGACGGGGUCCGGGAAGGCGUCGCUGCCGGGGAUCUUCAGCAUCACGUCGCCGUCGGCAACGUUGAUCACCUGCAGCAGGAAGUUGCCCUCCGGCACCGGCGGCACCACCGACCGCUGCACAGCGCGCGCUCAUAUUUAAUACACGUACAUGUGUCCUGUGCGUGUACUUCUUUGACAACGUGGCGGGGGAUCUUAACGCACCACAACGUUCACCUCCACCAGCGUCGCCGCCACGAAGGCCAGCGCCGCAAAGAUCAUCCCGGUGGCCAUUUUCCUCAGAGGCCUGCGGCGACAAAGAGUCCUCGCUUUAACCCAGAGAAGAAGAACUGUGCCCUGAUUGGACGCAGCUGAACUCAAAUGACUCCUGAAAUAGGCCGACCAGCGGAUAGAUGGCGAGGUCGAAGACGGGGAUGAAGAGGAGGAUCAGCAGCGCGUUAAGCAUCUGGAGGGGAAACGAAGGGGGGG